AACACAUGCAAGCCGAGCGGCAUGGAUAGCUUGCUAUCCAGAGAGCGGCGCACGGGUGCGUAACACGUGUGCAACCUACCUUUAUCUGGGGGAUAGCCUUUCGAAAGGAAGAUUAAUACCCCAUAAUAUAAUUGAUGGCAUCAUUGAUUAUUGAAAACUCCGGUGGAUAGAGAUGGGCACGCGCAAGAUUAGAUAGUUGGUGAGGUAACGGCUCACCAAGUCUGUGAUCUUUAGGGGUCCUGAGAGGGAGAUCCCCCACACUGGUACUGAGACACGGACCAGACUCCUACGGGAGGCAGCAGUGAGGAAUAUUGGACAAUGGGUGAGAGCCUGAUCCAGCCAUCCCGCGUGAAGGAUGACGGUCCUAUGGAUUGUAAACUUCUUUUGUACAGGGAUAAACCUACCCUCGUGAGGGUAGCUGAAGGUACUGUACGAAUAAGCACCGGCUAACUCCGUGCCAGCAGCCGCGGUAAUACGGAGGGUGCAAGCGUUAUCCGGAUUUAUUGGGUUUAAAGGGUCCGUAGGCGGACCUGUAAGUCAGUGGUGAAAUCUCAUAGCUUAACUAUGAAACUGCCAUUGAUACUGCAGGUCUUGAGUAAAUUUGAAGUGGCUGGAAUAAGUAGUGUAGCGGUGAAAUGCAUAGAUAUUACUUAGAACACCAAUUGCGAAGGCAGGUCACUAAGAUUUAACU
rnacentral:rRNA from 1 species